AUGGCGGAGACGAUAGCCUCCAUGCGCCGCCCGAAGCGUGGCCGCCCGCCAAGGCCGAGGGAGAGCGACUUCGUGACCGGCGAAGAGUUUGAGGACGAGGAGGAGGGGGAGGACCACGCGGAGGCGGCCGAUGGGCUCGCUCCGCCCCGGUCUAAGCGCAAGCGCGAGGUGUCCACCGCCGCCGCCGCCGCGCUCGAGGAUUUGACCCUCAUCGACAUAGUCAAACAUAAUGGCAGGCUAAUCAGCCAUGCUGUCAAAAGAUUGGUCGAGGAUUAUGAAUCAAAUCCAAAGUCAGUGCUAUUUCAGAUAUUAACAAUGUUAUUUGAGGUUUGUGGCGCCAGACAUGAUAUAUAUGCAAGCGACCUUCAUGAGGCAGCUGUGGAUGACAUUGUAUUCAAACUAGCUGAGCUAGCAAGAAAAGGUCUGGUGGAUGAUAAUUAUAGCUCAAAAAGGAAGGACCUUAAGAACUUCAAAGAAAAUCUUGUUACUUUUUGGGAUAGUUUGGUCCUUGAGUGUCAGAAUGGUCCAUUAUUUGAUGAUAACUUAUUCACGACAAUCAAGGAUUACGUGGUUGCUGUAUCAUGUACUCCCCCAAGGGUUUAUCGUCAAGUAGCUUCAUUGGUUGGGCUCCAGCUUGUGACGUCCUUCAUAUCUGUCGCCAAGACUCUCAGUGGACAGCGUGAGACCACCCAAAGGCAGUUGAAUGCAGAGAAGAAGAAGCACAGUGAUGGGCCAGCUGUUGAAUCUCUCAACAAAAGGCUAUCUAUUACUCAUGAAAAUAUUACAUAUUUGGAGGAAUCGAUGCGUAAAAUAUUCAGCGGGUUAUUCAUGCACCGUUAUCGGGAUGUUGACCCUGAGAUCCGAAUAUUAUGCAUAAAAUCCCUAGGUAUUUGGGUUGUCUCAUAUCCAUCACUGUUCUUACAAGACAUAUAUUUAAAGUAUCUUGGGUGGACACUGAAUGACAAGAAUGCUGGAGUUAGAAGAACUUCUAUUCUUGCCUUGCAAAGCCUGUAUGAUGUAGAUGACAACAUACCUUCUCUUGGUCUCUUUACGGAGAGGUUUUAUAGCAGGAUGAUCCAGCUUGCUGAUGAUAUUGAUAUUUCAGUAGCUGUGCCAGCUAUAGGACUCAUCAAGCAAUUACUUCGGCAUCAACUUUUGAGUGACGAUGAUUUGGGUCCCCUAUAUGAUUUGCUUAUUGACGAACCUCCUAUGAUCAGGCGUGCAAUAGGGGAGUUAGUUUAUGAUCACCUGAUAGCACAGAACUGCAAGACCCCUUCUGUAGCUAGAGAUGGGGACAAUGAAUCCUCCGAGAUUCACAUUAGUCGAAUGCUGCACAUCUUAAGGGAAUUUUCGGAUGACCCAGUCCUGAGUUCUUACGUCAUUGAUGAUAUUUGGGAUGACAUGAAGGCCAUGAAAGACUGGAAGUGUAUAAUCUCCAUGCUUCUCGAUGAAACUCCGAUAGCUGAGCUUACUGACAUGGAUGGAACAAAUCUAGUUCGGAUGCUGCGAGCCUCUGCUAAGAAGGCUGUUGGGGAAAGAAUAGUUCCUGCAACUGACAGUAGGAAGAUGUACUACAACAAAUCUCAAAAGGAGAUGUUAGAAAAUAGCAAGGGUGACAUAACCAAUGCCUUGAUGAAGAGGUACCCACAACUUUUGAGAAAGUACUUGCCUGACAAGGCCAAGAUAUCCCCUCUAAUUGAUAUGAUGAUGCUUUUGAAACUUGAGAUGUACUCACUGAAGAGGCAAGAGCAGAAUUUCAAGGCCGUCAUAGAUCUCAUUGUUGAUGCCUUCUUCAAACAUGGUGACAAGGAUACUUUAAGAUCUUGCAUCAAGGCAAUAGCUUUCUGUUGCACAAAGUGUCAGGCGGAUCUUCUAGAUUAUGCUGAAAAUAAACUUAAGAUUCUUGAAGAUGAGUUGGUUUUGAAAGUAAAAACUGCGAUCAAGGAAGUAGAGGCAGGUGAUGAUGAAUACUCUCUCUUGGUUAAUUUGAAGCGACUUCAUGAACUUCAGUUGUCAAAACCUGUUAAAAAUGAUGGUUUAUUUGAAGAUAUGUACCAAAUCCUCAGUCAUCUAAAAGAGAUGGAUAAUGAGGUAAAGAGCUUUCUCCUCAUCAACAUGUUCCUUGAAGUAGCAUGGUGCCUUAAUGCAAUUGACGUUGAAAACCCAUCUGAAACAUCUAUCGAGGGACUUUCUUCCAAGCAAAGGUCUCUCUUUGAACAACUCUAUUAUUUCUUGGUGGUUCUGUCCAAUUAUCAGAAAGAGGGAAGGAGCACCACCGUGCUUUCCUCCAGAGUCUGCAUCAUUACUGCAGAGAUGUGGUGCUUGUUUAAGAAGUCAAAGUAUUCUUCAACAAAGCUAAAAAAUUUGGGUUAUCUCCCACAAUUAGAAUAUGUUCAGAAGUUUUGGAAACUAUGUGAACAGCAGCUGAAUAUAUCAGAUGACACAGAAGAUGAAGACGCAAACGAAGAAUAUAUUGAAGACACAAACAGGGAUGCUGUCAUGAUUGCAGCUGCAAAGCUACUGCUUGCUGAUACAGUUUCAAAGGAUUACCUUGGCCCUGAGAUUGUUUCACACUAUGUAUCUCACGGUGCAAGUACGACAGAGAUCAUCAAGCAUCUCAUUACCGCACUAAAGAAAAAUGCAAACAGCGAUAUAGCUGCUCUAUUCUUUGAGGCAUUGAGACGGGCGUACGAACGGUAUAUGACCUAUUUGCGCGAAGGAGAGAACCAAAACCUGAUAGCCAAAUCUUACUCGGAGUGUCAAGAUCUUGCUAAUCGGCUUGCAGGCUACUAUGUUGGCGCUGUUCGUAUUAAAAACAAGUCUGAGAUCUUAAAGAUUAUCCAGUGCGGUGUUCAAUUUGCCUUUGUGGACCUCCCAAAGCAAUUGUCUUUCCUCGAGGCUGCUCUUGUGCCAUUUGUUUCUAAACUUCCUUCGUCAGAUAUACCAGACAUUUUGACAGAUGUACAGAAGAGGGCACAAGAUACCGAUAUGAAUGAAGAUCCCAGUGCUUGGCGCCCGUACUUAACCUUUGUAGAACACUUACGUGAGAAACAUGCAAGGAAUGAGGUUUUCCACGAAGAAAAGGAGGAAAAGCCUGUAAAACGCAGGGGCCGCCCGAGGAAGCCUAGAGAUGAACCUGUGAGAAAUCUUUUUGAUGGAAACAAAUCUAGUGAUGAAGAGUCUGUUAGUGACUCUGACCAACGGGGGCAUGGUGGAGAUGACGACGACGAGGAUGAUGCUUUUGACCAGCCUUUGAUCAACACGUUUAGGCCUUCCGCAUCCAAGCUAAGAUCGCUGAAGGGGGUUUCUCAACAGGGAACAAGCAGUCAGAGAAAAGCUCCUACGGCUUCAGGAAGCAAUAGCUGA
rnacentral:rRNA from 1 species